CAAGGAGCACACAGAAACUGGUGGCCACGUCUUACAGCUGGGGCAGCUUCUGAUGGCUCCCUGUUUUGGGUGGAGACCACUUGGUCUGAGGCUGAAUUUGCUUUAGAUUUUGGGGCUUGGUUCAUGUUGCAGGAACAGCUGAAGCAGUCUAAGUUGAACCUGCCACAAACCCUGCCUUUUCCAGAGGUCUAAUUAAAAAUACUUGCCGCUGAUGAGGAGAGCUGCUAAGCAUACAAGGUUGUAUUUGAUUACCUUCCCUUCAAGCUGCCCUGGUUGUGUAGUGCUCCACCCUGUGGUCAUCACUCAUGCCAAAGGCGCACAGCAAGAUGGCCAGGAGAGGAAAUCCAUGGGUGGUGGUAAGGGACUGGAUGAAGCCUUCUCCCCUUACUCUUUUGUUCAAAAAGUGAAGUCAGCUAGGGCUCCGUUAGCUUACUGGGGAAGAAUGCGGGAAGCCAAGGCUGGACUGGUCUGUGAACAACUCCCUUAGGAUAAAACUCCAGGAGGACUG
rnacentral:lncRNA from 1 species